UAAACCAGAUAACAUUAGCUGCUAUAUUUUUGGAAAUUUAGUCUUCCCAGGAUCUCCUGUCAGAUCAGAGCUUGCUACAAUUGAAAAUUAGCUUUCUUCUUACAGCACUGAGGAUCUCUACAAGUGCUGAUGUUUGUUUAAUGACUGUGGAGUGAAUCAUUGACCAGUUUUGAACAUGUAAAGUGUUUCCAAGUCAGAAAGUUGUAAUGACGGAUCAAAGCUAACUGGAACCAUUUUUCAUACUGCUCACUCUGAGACUCUGCAGGGGGCACAAUUAUGAAGAGGGAAGCAGAGCUGGGACAGAUGCUCCAUUAGUUUUAAUUAACAGAUUUGACUGGACUUCAGUUAAAGCUGGUGAAUCUCUGGCAAAUUAUGAAAGUGUACCCUAAAGAAGCAUAUCCUUUAAGACAAUAUCAUUUUUCACACAGUCACUGUUUUAAUAACCAUGGAACAGCAAUACAAAAUUAAAUUUAACUGUUGUAUUUGGCUAGGAAAAAGUUACUAGCAUCACCUAGCUCUGACAUACUCUAUCCACUUUUGCUCAGGACUAUAAAAACUGUAACAAACAGUAUUGUGUGAAUGCCUAUGCCAUUUGUGCU